rnacentral:rRNA from 1 species
UACGUAGGGUGCAAGCGUUGUCCGGAUUUAUUGGGCGUAAAGCGCGUGUAGGCGGCCAUGUAGGUCCGUUGUGAAAACUCGAGGCUCAACCUCGAGACGCCGAUGGAAACCAUGUGGCUAGAGUCCGGAAGAGGAGAGUGGAAUUCCUGGUGUAGCGGUGAAAUGCGCAGAUAUCAGGAAGAACACCCGUGGCUAAGGCGGCUCUCUAGUACGGUACUGACGCUGAGACGCGAAAGCGUGGGGAGCGAACAGG